rnacentral:rRNA from 1 species
CGUGGGUAACCUACCCAUCAGAGGGGGAUAACACUUGGAAACAGGUACUAAUACCGCAUAACAGUUUAUGCCGCAUGGCAUAAGAGUGAAAGGCGCUUUCGGGUGUCGCUGAUGGAUGGACCCGCGGUGCAUUAGCUAGUUGGUGAGGUAACGGCUCACCAAGGCCACGAUGCAUAGCCGACCUGAGAGGGUGAUCGGCCACACUGGGACUGAGACACGGCCCAG